AUGAACGCUGGCGGCGUGCUUAACACAUGCAAAGUCGAAACGGGCUUAAAGAGGAGAGGUUUCUCAACUUUAAGUUAGUGGCGGACGGGUGAGUAACGCGUGGGUAACCUGCCCUAUGCAGGGGGAUAGCAGCUGGAAACGGCUGAUAAAACCGCAUAACACGGCAGCACCGCAUGGUGCAGCCGUCAAAUAUUUAUAGGCAUAGGAUGGGCCCGCGUCUGAUUAGCUAGUUGGUGGGGCAACGGCCUACCAAGGCGACGAUCAGUAGCCGGCCUGAGAGGGUGAACGGCCACAUUGGGACUGAGACACGGCCCAAACUCCUACGGGAGGCAGCAGUGGGGAAUAUUGGACAAUGGGGGAAACCCUGAUCCAGCGAACCGCCGCGUGAGUGAAGAAGUAUUUCGGUAUGUAAAGCUCUAUCAGCAGGGAAGAUGAUGACGGUACCUGACUAAGAAGCACCGGCUAAAUACGUGCCAGCCGCCGC
rnacentral:rRNA from 1 species